UGGAUAGGCUACUGAAUACAGAAGUAGAUAGAAUGACCAAUCACAAAUGACUACUAUCCAGCCAAACGCAAUGCCCGUUAUUGUGUUACCUAGCAACAUAACCUAAACAAACCUGUGUAAUUUUCUCUACAUUUUGUGUGGUUAGUUCAGAAAUGUUGUAACUAAGUGCCCUUGGUUAGUUAACUUGAGCGGGAAAAGUAGUUUUGUCAUUUUCACCCUAACCAGGUUGUCAGGCUUCCUAUAAUGGCUGGAACAACCUUUUGCGAUGUGUCUGAGCUUUGCAACAUUCUUAAUCAGUACACUCGCCUGUCCAGACUACCAAAGUUAAACUACCUCUGUUUGAUUGAUGCUCGUGCUAAAGGACAGUACAAUGCCAGCCAUAUCAUCACUGCCAGAAAUACAAAAUAGGUAUGAGUGUCAAAUCAGUCAUUAACACAGUACAAAACAGCUCAUCCCACCUUAGGUUCAAAAUACUCUGCUUCAAUUAAGUUGCAAUGUUCAAUAGGGGCGGCAGGUUGGGCCAGUAACCGAAAGAUAGAAUCCCUGAGCUGACCAUGUAAAAUCUGUCGUUCUGCCCCUGAUCAAGGCAGUUAACCCACUGUUCCCCAGUAGGCCAUCAUUGUAAAUAAGAAUUUGUUCUUAACUGACUUACUUGCCUUGUUAAAUAAAAGUUCAAUUUAAUAAAAUAGAAAAUAGUUGAGAUGGAAUCUAAAGGCAAAUUCAUUAUGCUUGUGGAGGUGGAGAGUAUGAGGAAUAUUGUGGUUUAUGACAUGAUGAAUGAAAAAUAAUACUUUUUGUAUGUGUUUGACUAGUUUCAAUUAAGCUCUGUGUCAGGUUAAAGUAAAUUAAUCUCAACCGUUUUUAAUUGAAUAGAAACGGCUUGUCAAUUUUAUUUUUCCUUUAUUUAACUAGGCAAGUCAGUUAAGAACAAAUUCUUAUUUUCAAUGACAGCCUAGGGACAGUGGGUUAACUGCCUUGUUCAGGGGAAGAACCACAAAUUUUUACCUCAUCAACUCUGGGAUUUGAUCUUGCAACCUUUCGGUUACUAGUCCAACGAUCUAACUACUAGGCUACCUGCCGCCCCAAUGAUUGACAAUGAUAUUAAAUCCAUGAUAUCCCAUCAGAGAGAUAUGUAAGAAUGGUGUGUGUGUGUGUUAGGCUAUGGAAGGCCCUGACAAAAUCAAACCGCUAUCCUGUCCAGAUUCUGAAAGGAGGCUAUCGGGUUCUCAGCCUUGCAUCCUUUCUUUAAAACACAGAAAAUCCUUUACACAAUAAAGGUAACACCUCCAUUGCUCCAAACAUUUGCUUCAUAUUGUGAGAAUCUGUUGAGAAAUUGCUAAACACACUCAGGUGAUAAGUCUUUCAAAGUUGUGAUUUGCAUAGAUUGUUCUGCUGUCUGUUUCGUUCAUGUGAAUGUAGGAAUUGGAGAGCUUGAGGCCUUAUAAAGUAGAGCUCUUGCCAGGUCAACUCUACCUAGGCGAUUACAAGCAGGCUAUCAGUCCCCACGUCCUAAAAGACCUAAAACUGAGCGCACUUGUUAAUGUCUCUGAAGACACUAGUCAUGUGUGUGAGGACUCGUAUUUACAUGCCAAAGGAGCAUGUCCUAAAUAGUUGUUUAAAUAAAAUGUUUUUCUUUUGAAAUUAGGUUGGGAAAAGGAAACCACACCAUCCGUCACAUUAAUGUGGCAGAUUCUGUGGAGACUGAUGUACUCCAGUUUUGAGAGGAUAUGUGUUUUCAUUGGUAGGCUGCAUGUAUUUUCUUCCACUUUUUAUACUGAACAAAAAUAUAAACGCAACAUGCAACAAUUUCAAAGAUUUUACUGAGUUACAGUUCUUUUAAGGAAAUCAGUCAAUUGAAAUAAAUUCAUUAGACCUGAUCUAUGGAUUUCACAUUACUGGGCAGAGGCGCAGCCAUGAGUGGGUAAGCCCACCCACUUGGGGGCCAGGCCCACCCACUGGAGAGCCAGGCCCAGCCAAUUAGAAUGAGUUUUUCUUAAGUGCUUUAUUACAUACAG